AUACGUAGGGGGCGAGCGUUGUCCGGAAUGAUUGGGCGUAAAGGGCGCGUAGGCGGCGCGGUAAGUCUGGAGUGAAAGUCCUGCUUUCAAGGUGGGAAUUGCUUUGGAUACUGCCGCGCUUGAGUGCAGGAGAGGUUAUCGGAAUUCCCGGUGUAGCGGGGAAAUGCGUAGAGAUCGGGAGGAACACCAGUGGCGAAGGCGGGUAACUGGACUGCAACUGAGGCUGAGGCGCGAAAGUGUGGGGAGCAAACAGGAUUAGAUACCCUGGUAGUCCACACUGUAAACGAUGAAUGCUAGGUGUAAGAGGUAUCGACCCCUUUUGUGCCGGAGUCAACACAAUAAGCAUUCCGCCUGGGGAGUACGGCCGCAAGGUUGAAACUCAAAGGAAUUGACGGGG
rnacentral:rRNA from 1 species